rnacentral:rRNA from 1 species
GAUGAACGCUGGCGGCGUGCCUAAUACAUGCAAGUCGAGCGAACGGACGAGAAGCUUGCUUUUCUGAUGUUAGCGGCGGACGGGUGAGUAACACGUGGAUAACCUACCUAUAAGACUGGGAUAACUUCGGGAAACCGGAGCUAAUACCGGAUAAUAUUUUGAACCGCAUGGUUCAAAAGUGAAAGACGGUCUUGCUGUCACUUAUAGAUGGAUCCGCGCUGCAUUAGCUAGUUGGUAAGGUAACGGCUUACCAAGGCAACGAUGCAUAGCCGACCUGAGAGGGUGAUCGGCCACACUGGAACUGAGACACGGUCCAGACUCCUACGGGGGGCAGCAGUAGGGAAUCUUCCGCAAAGGGCGAAAGCCUGACGGAGCAACGCCGCGUGAGUGAUGAAGGUCUUCGGAUCGUAAAACUCUGUUAUUAGGGAAGAACAUAUGUGUAAGUAACUGUGCACAUCUUGACGGUACCUAAUCAGAAAGCCACGGCUAACUACGUG